rnacentral:rRNA from 1 species
AUGAACGCUGGCGGCGUGCUUAACACAUGCAAGUCGAGCGAAGCGCCUUGAAGUUUUCGGACCAAGAGGUGACUGAGCGGCGGACGGGUGAGUAACGCGUGGGUAACCUGCCUCAUACAGGGGGAUAACAGUUAGAAAUGGCUGCUAAUACCGCAUAAGCGCACAGCAUCGCAUGAUGCCGUGUGAAAAACUCCGGUGGUAUGAGAUGGACCCGCGUCUGAUUAGGUAGUUGGCGGGGUAACGGCCCACCAAGCCGACGAUCAGUAGCCGACCUGAGAGGGUGACCGGCCACAUUGGGACUGAGACACGGCCCAAACUCCUACGGGAGGCAGCAGUGGGGAAUAUUGCACAAUGGGCGAAAGCCUGAUGCAGCGACGCCGCGUGAGCGAAGAAGUAUCUCGGUAUGUAAAGCUCUAUCAGCAGGGAAGAAAAUGACGGUACCUGACUAAGAAGCCCCGGGCUAACUACGUGCCAGCAGCCGCGGUAAUACGUAGGGGGCAAGCGUUAUCCGGAUUUACUGGGUGUAAAGGGAGCGUAACGGGGAGGCAAGUCUGAUGUGAAAACCCGGGGGCUCGACCCCGGGGAGUGCGUUGGAAACUGUUUUAUCUGGAAUUGCCGGAGGGGUAGGUGGAAAUUCCU